UCAGGAUCCAGGAUAAAGGACUCUUCAUUUUUGGAGCAAAAGUCAUACCUAUUUUAAAAAAAAAUUCUAUAUGAAUAAAAAACCCAAACAACAAAAAGGACACUUGAGACCACUGUGACCUGGGCAGUGCAGUGGUAUCUAACUGACCUGGCCGCCAGCUGGCUUCCCGCUCCAACACCUUACAAAGCUGCUGCCAGGCCAGCCCCUGAAUGUUGUAUUUUUAAUGGAAUCCUUUUUGCUCCAAAAGCUUCAACUGCAGUGAAGAAAGCCAGGCUUCCUUGUCUGACAUCAAGGCUAUCCACAGUCCAUUCCCUUCCUGCUUUUCCAACCUUACCCCUACAGAAACCUUUUGUCCUAGUCAACCCGUGCUUUGGUUUAGUUAGUUUAAAGAGUACUGAAACAGGAGCCAGAGGACCUGAGUCCUAGUCUCACCCUGACUUCAUCUAGCUGUAUGAAAAGUUUUCUUUUCUGAAAAACCAGAAUAAAAUAUACCUGCCUUGUUAAUCUCA